rnacentral:rRNA from 1 species
UACGGGGGGGGCAAGCGUUGUUCGGAAUUACUGGGCGUAAAGGGCUCGUAGGCGGCCAACUAAGUCAGACGUGAAAUCCCUCGGCUUAACCGGGGAACUGCGUCUGAUACUGGAUGGCUUGAGGUUGGGAGAGGGAUGCGGAAUUCCAGGUGUAGCGGUGAAAUGCGUAGAUAUCUGGAGGAACACCGGUGGCGAAGGCGGCUUGCUGGGCCAGUUCUGACGCUGAGGAGCGAAAGCGUGGGGAGCGAACAGG